UUCCGGUUGAUCCUGCCGGAGGCUACCGCUAUUGGAGUUCGAUUAAGCCAUGCGAGUCGCGAGUCUUAGGGACUCGGCGUACCGCUCAGUAACACGUGGGUAACCUGCCCUAUGCUGGGGGAUAACCUCGGGAAACUGAGAAUAAUACCCCAUAGUUCACCACGCCUGGAACGGUGGGUGGAUGAAAGCUCCGGCGGCAUAGGAUGGGCCUGCGGCGUAUCAGGUUGUAGGGGGUGUAAUGUACCCUCUAGCCAUCUACGCGUACGGGUGUUGGGAGACAUCGCCCGGAGAUGGAUUCUGAGACACGAAUCCAGACCCUACGGGGUGCAGCAGGCGCGAAAACUUGGCAAUGCGAGCAAUCGUGACCAGGGAACUCCAAGUGCAUCGGGUAAGACCGAUGCUUUUCUUGACUCUUCAAAGGUCUUGGAAUAAGGGGUGGGUAAGGACGGUGCCAGCCGCCGCGGUAAUACCGGCGCCUCAAGUGGUAGUCGCUUUUAUUGGUCCUAAAACGUCCGUAGCCGGUUUGGUACAUUCGUGGGUAAAUCAAGGCGCUCAACGUCUUGAAUUCUGCGAGCACGGCCAGACUUGGGACCGGGUGAGGUGUGGGGUACUCUCAGGGUAGGGGUAAAAUCCUGUCAUCCUGAGAGGACCACCUGUUGCGAAGGCGCCACACUAGAACGGAUCCGACGGUCAGGGACGAAGCCUAGGGGCACGAACCGGAUUAGAUACCCGGGUAGUCCUAGGUGUAAACGCUGUGGACUUGAUGUUGGGAGUGCUCCGAGCACCCUCAGUGUCGAAGCGAAGGUGAUAAGUCCACUGCCUGGGGAGUACGGUCGCAAGGCUGAAACUUAAAGGAAUUGGCGGGGGAGCACUGCAACCUGAGGAUUGUGCGGUUUAAUUGGAGUCAACGCCGG
rnacentral:rRNA from 1 species